AAUUNNNNNNNCCUGGUACGAUUCGCCUUGAGUUGAUCAUGGCUCAGAACGAACGCUGGCGGCGUGGAUAAGACAUGCAAGUCGGACGGGAUCACUUUCGCCCGCAAGGGUGGAAGUGAUUCAGUGGCGAACGGGUGCGUAACACGUGGGCAAUCUGUCCUAAAGUGGGGGAUAGCUCGGCGAAAGCCGAAUUAAUACCGCAUGUGAUCAGAGGCGACAUCGUCUCGAAAUCAAAGGUGGCGCAAGCUACCGCUUUUUGAGGAGCCCGCGGCCUAUCAGCUUGUUGGUGAGGUAACGGCUCACCAAAGCGUUGACGGGUAGCUGGUCUGAGAGGACGACCAGCCACACUGGGACUGAGACACGGCCCAGACACCUACGGGUGGCAGCAGUCGAGAAUUUUUCUCAAUGGGGGAAACCCUGAAGGAGCGACGCCGCGUGGAGGAUGAAGGUCUUCGGGUUGUAAACUCCUGUCAUUUGGGAACAAGGCGCGGCUAUUAACUGUAGCCGCGUUGAUAGUACCAGAAGAGGAAGAGACGGCUAACUCUGUGCCAGCAGCCGCGGUAAUACAGAGGUCUCAAGCGUUGUUCGGAUUCAUUGGGCGUAAAGGGUGCGUAGGCGGCGCGGUAAGUCGGGUGUGAAAUUUCGGAGCUUAACUCCGAAACUGCAUUCGAUACUGCCGUGCUUGAGGACUGGAGAGGAGACUGGAAUUUACGGUGUAGCAGUGAAAUGCGUAGAGAUCGUAAGGAAGACANUGGCGAAGCNGGUCCUGGACAUUUCUGACGCUU
rnacentral:rRNA from 1 species